rnacentral:rRNA from 1 species
GAUGAACGCUGGCUACAGGCUUAACACAUGCAAGUCGAGGGGAAACGGCAUUGAGUGCUUGCACUGAAUGGACGUCGACCGGCGCACGGGUGAGUAACGCGUAUCCAACCUUCCCGUCACUGCGGGAUAACCUGCCGAAAGGCAGACUAAUACCGCAUGUUCUUCGAUGACGGCAUCAGAUUCGAAGCAAAGACUCGUCGGUAACGGAGGGGGAUGCGUCUGAUUAGCUUGUUGGCGGGGUGACGGCCCACCAAGGCGACGAUCAGUAGGGGUUCUGAGAGGAAGGUCCCCCACAUUGGAACUGAGACACGGUCCAAACUCCUACGGGAGGCAGCAGUGAGGAAUAUUGGUCAAUGGGCGGAAGCCUGAACCAGCCAAGUAGCGUGCAGGACGACGGCCCUACGGGUUGUAAACUGCUUUUAUGCGGGGAUAAAGUGAGGGACGCGUCCCUUUUUGCAGGUACCG